AUUGAACGCUGGCGGCAGGCCUAACACAUGCAAGUCGAGCGGAUGAAGGGAGCUUGCUCCUGGAUUCAGCGGCGGACGGGUGAGUAAUGCCUAGGAAUCUGCCUGGCAGUGGGGGAUAACGUCCGGAAACGGGCGCUAAUACCGCAUACGUCCUGAGGGAGAAAGUGGGGGAUCUUCGGACCUCACGCUAUCAGAUGAGCCUAGGUCGGAUUAGCUAGUUGGUGGGGUAAAGGCCUACCAAGGCGACGAUCCGUAACUGGUCUGAGAGGAUGAUCAGUCACACUGGAACUGAGACACGGUCCAGACUCCUACGGGAGGCAGCAGUAGGGAAUAUUGGACAAUGGGCGAAAGCCUGAUCCAGCCAUGCCGCGUGUGUGAAGAAGGUCUUCGGAUUGUAAAGCACUUUAAGUUGGGAGGAAGGGCAGUAAGUUAAUACCUUGCUGUUUUGACGUUACCAACAGAAUAAGCACCGGCUAACUUCGUG
rnacentral:rRNA from 1 species